GGGGUCCUACGGGAGGCAGCAGUGGGGAAUAUUGCACAAUGGGGGAAACCCUGAUGCAGCGACGCCGCGUGAGUGAAGAAGUAUUUCGGUAUGUAAAGCUCUAUCAGCAGGGAAGAAAAAAGACGGUACCUGACUAAGAAGCCCCGGCUAACUACGUGCCAGCAGCCGCGGUAAUACGUAGGGGGCAAGCGUUAUCCGGAUUUACUGGGUGUAAAGGGAGCGUAGACGGUGCGUCAAGUCUGAAGUGAAAGCCCGGG
rnacentral:rRNA from 1 species